CCCGAGGUCUUCUUCUAUGCGCAGAAGGUAGUGCUUCGCCCCACAGAUCCUCUGUUUGAUCAAGAGGCAGCCACACUGUGUGAGGGCUUUGACGUGGAUUUUCAUUCUCUGACCAUGGCAGUGAUGGAGCUCUCAUCAAUUUGGAGCUCAAUGACUUGCAGUUGUGCCUUCCAGAAUAUUGUUGUGAGGACCAACAUGAUUUUCGAGAAUCUUUCAUCUAAAGGAAUCUAGUCUAGCAAGAAAAACGUACUAAGAGGCCAAGACUAGCUAAUAGCUGCACAGGUAUCCUCACUGCUGGCUAAUCUGAACUUUUAUGUUUCCAUGAUUAGUUCAGAGCAUGAAACUAGUGUAUUAGAACGUGUCUUUCCAUUCUGCCUUUGAUGUACCUCACAUACAACUCUGAUAUUUCAGUAGAGGCCAUUUCCGUGCUUAAAUAAUAGUCCUCAUCUCAAAGCUUAUUUGAUCACCUUUCCAGUAUAUGUAUACAGAGAUAUACAAGAAAAAAAUGCAGAGCCUGGGGUGCACUGCUAUCAAGUGCUUCAUCUGGACGCACAAACCCAGGAAAAACAUAUUUGCAGUAUUUGAGAUAGGAGUGAAGGUUGAGGGGACAUGAAGGCUGUUGUUGCUGUGACAGAAGAUCAGAAAAAUCCGGUGGAGAUUUGCACCAGUCUUGGUUGAUAUAGCCACCAUGUCUUGAUUGUAUAUACACUUGUUGGAUCUAAACUGUUAGUGUGGAGUGUGGAUGUGCGUAUGUGUAACUGUUGUUACGAAUAUUUGAUUGAAUCAGA